ACUAACACCCCACCUGGCCCCAUCCUCCUCUCUUCUCAUCCCUCCCAACCAACCUCAAUACUGAACACCCCUGUCCCCUCCUCCUCUCUUCUCAUCCUCUCCCAAACCAAACCUCAUACUAACACCCCUGUCCCCUCCUCCUCUCUUCUCAUCCUCUCCCAAACCAAACCUCAUACUAACACACCCGUGUCCCCCUCCACCUCUCUUCUCAUCCUCUCCCAAACCAAACUCAUACAGAACACACCCUGUCCUCCUCCUUCCUCUCUUUCUCAUCUCUCCCAAAACCAAACCUCAUACUAACACACCCACCCCCCCUCCCCCCCCUCUCUUCUCAUCCUCUCCCAAACCAAACCUCA
rnacentral:lncRNA from 1 species